rnacentral:rRNA from 1 species
AUAGCGUAUAUUAAAGUUGUUGUGGUUAAAAAGCUCGUAGUUGAACCUUGGGCCUGGCUGGCCGGUCCGCCUCACCGCGUGUACUGGUCCGGCCGGGCCUUUCCCUCUGUGGAACCCCAUGCCCUUCACUGGGUGUGGCGGGGAAACAGGACUUUUACUUUGAAAAAAUUAGAGUGCUCCAGGCAGGCCUAUGCUCGAAUACAUUAGCAUGGAAUAAUAGAAUAGGACUUUGGUUCUAUUUUGUUGGUUUCUAGGACCGAAGUAAUGAUUAAUAGGGAUAGUUGGGGGCAUUAGUAUUUAAUUGUCAGAGGUGAAAUUCUUGGAUUUAUUAAAGACUAACUUCUG